rnacentral:rRNA from 1 species
ACGAUAACGGCGUCGAGCGGCGGACGGGUGAGUAAUGCCUGGGAAAUUGCCCUGAUGUGGGGGAUAACCAUUGGAAACGAUGGCUAAUACCGCAUAAUAGCUUCGGCUCAAAGAGGGGGACCUUCGGGCCUCUCGCGUCAGGAUAUGCCCAGGUGGGAUUAGCUAGUUGGUGAGGUAAAGGCUCACCAAGGCAACGAUCCCUAGCUGGUCUGAGAGGAUGAUCAGCCACACUGGAACUGAGACACGGUCCAGACUCCUACGGGAGGCAGCAGUGGGGAAUAUUGCACAAUGGGCGCAAGCCUGAUGCAGCCAUGCCGCGUGUAUGAAGAAGGCCUUCGGGUUGUAAAGUACUUUCAGCAGUGAGGAAGGCGGAUGCGUUAAUAGCGUAUUCGUUUGACGUUAGCUGCAGAAGAAGCACCGGCUAACUCCGUGCCAGCAGCCGCGGUAAUACGGAGGGUGCGAGCGUUAAUCGGAAUUACUGGGCGUAAAGCGCAUGCAGGUGGUGUGUUAAGUCAGAUGUGAAAGCCCGGGGCUCAACCUCGGAAUAGCAUUUGAAACUGGCACACUAGAGUACUGUAGAGGGGGGUAGAAUUUCAGGUG